AACGAACGCUGGCGGCGCGCCUAAUACAUGCAAGUCGAACGAGAAGCUGUAGCAAUACAGUUGUACAGUGGCGAACGGGUGAGGAAUACAUGGGUGACCUACCCUCGAGUGGGGAAUAACCAGCCGAAAGGUUGGCUAAUACCGCGUACGCUUCCCAGUCUACGGGUUGGGAAGGAAAGCGAUGCCGUGGGUAUCGCGCUCAAGGUUGGGCUCAUGUCCUAUCAGCNGUUGGUGGGGUAACGGCUCACCAAGGCAACGACGGGUAGCUGGUCUGAGAGGACGAUCAGCCACACUGGCACUGCGACACGGGCCAGACUCCUACGGGAGGCAGCAGUAAGGAAUAUUGCGCAAUGGGCG
rnacentral:rRNA from 1 species